UUAAGCUAGUGUAAAAAUAUCUCAUAUCAUGACAACGUGUCUAACCCAGAAACAGACUACAGGUAUCUGUAUAUGGCAAAAUCUUUAAGAAGUUUGGGUCUUAAACAUCGUACUUCAUUUUGCAUGUUAACAUUUUCGUUUUGAACGAGAUGAGUCUUUAAAAAUUUUAAAGCCUGGUAUCUGAUGACUUUAUUUAGUUCAUGUUACUAAUAUACUAUGUAGAACGUUGAAAUAAAGGCAUUAGUAGUAUACCGCUGUUUAAAAGUCAGAAAUCGAUUGAGAAAAAACAAAUCUGGGUUACAAACUAAAACCAAGGGAAUAAUGACGUGAUAACAAUUUGCUCAACAUUUGUUACAACUGAUUCAUUUGAUAUUAAUAAUGUGUCACCCUAUAUUUCUUGUUCUUAUUUGGAAUUUUAGUUUCUUCAUUUCGAUUAAAAGUCGGCAUUUCCUCGUCUGUUUUCGUUUUAGGAUUUUCAAACAAUUUGGCUGCAUAUGAAUGGUCGAAAUGCGUGUUCGGUG
rnacentral:lncRNA from 1 species